rnacentral:rRNA from 1 species
AGAGUUUGAUCCUGGCUCAGGAUGAACGCUAGCGACAGGCCUAACACAUGCAAGUCGAGGGGCAGCGGGGAGGUAGCAAUACCUUUGCCGGCGACCGGCGCACGGGUGAGUAACACGUAUGCAAUCCACCUGUAACAGGGGGAUAACCCGGAGAAAUCCGGACUAAUACCCCAUAAUAUGGGCGCUCCGCAUGGAGAGUCCAUUAAAGAGAGCAAUCUUGGUUACAGACGAGCAUGCGCUCCAUUAGCCAGUUGGCGGGGUAACGGCCCACCAAGGCGACGAUGGAUAGGGGUUCUGAGAGGAAGGUCCCCCACAUUGGAACUGAGACACGGUCCAAACUCCUACGGGAGGCAGCAGUGAGGAAUAUUGGUCAAUGGGCGAGAGCCUGAACCAGCCAAGUAGCGUGAAGGAUGACUGCCCUAUGGGUUGUAAACUUCUUUUAUAAAGGAAUAACAGACGCCACGUGUGGUGUUUUGCAUGUACUUUAUGAAUAAGCAUCGGCUAACUCCGUGCCAGCAGCCGCGGUAAUACGGAGGAUGCGAGCGUUAUCCGGAUUUAUUGGGUUUAAAGGGUGCGUAGGCGGUUUAUUAAGUUAGUGGUUAAAUAUUUGAGCUAAACUCAAUUGUGCCAUUAAUACUGGUAAACUGGAGUACAGACGAGGUAGGCGGAAUAAGUUAAGUAGCGGUGAAAUGCAUAGAUAUAACUUAGAACUCCGAUAGCGAAGGCAGCUUACCAGACUGUAACUGACGCUGAUGCACGAGAGCGUGGGUAGCGAACAGGAUUAGAUACCCUGGUAGUCCACGCCGUAAACGAUGCUCACUGGUUCUGUGCGAUAUAUUGUACGGGAUUAAGCGAAAGUAUUAAGUGAGCCACCUGGGGAGUACGUCGGCAACGAUGAAACUCAAAGGAAUUGACGGGGGCCCGCACAAGCGGAGGAACAUGUG